AUUUACAUUUGAGUGAGUGGCGAACUGGUGAGUAACACGUGGGAAACCUGCCCAGAAGCGGGGGAUAACACCUGGAAACAGAUGCUAAUACCGCAUAACAACUUGGACCGCAUGGUCCGAGCUUGAAAGAUGGCUUCGGCUAUCACUUUUGGAUGGUCCCGCGGCGUAUUAGCUAGAUGGUGGGGUAACGGCUCACCAUGGCAAUGAUACGUAGCCGACCUGAGAGGGUAAUCGGCCACAUUGGGACUGAGACACGGCCCAAACUCCUACGGGAGGCAGCAGUAGGGAAUCUUCCACAAUGGACGAAAGUCUGAUGGAGCAACGCCGCGUGAGUGAAGAAGGGUUUCGGCUCGUAAAACUCUGUUGUUAAAGAAGAACAUAUCUGAGAGUAACUGUUCAGGUAUUGACGGUAUUUAACCAGAAAGCCACGGCUAACUACGUGCCAGCAGCCGCGGUAAUACGUAGGUGGCAAGCGUUGUCCGGAUUUAUUGGGCGUAAAGCGAGCGCAGGCGGUUUUUUAAGUCUGAUGUGAAAGCCUUCGGCUCAACCGAAGAAGUGCAUCGGAAACUGGGAAACUUGAGUGCAGAAGAGGACAGUGGAACUCCAUGUGUAGCGGUGAAAUGCGUAGAUAUAUGGAAGAACACCAGUGGCGAAGGCGGCUGUCUGGUCUGUAACUGACGCUGAGGCUCGAAAGUAUGGGUAGCAAACAGGAAUUAGAUACCCUGGUAGUCCAUACCGUAAACGAUGAAUGCUAA
rnacentral:rRNA from 1 species